UCCCAGGGCCCGGCCCCGCGCGGAGCUGCGGUAAACAGGACCUUCUGCCGGACUCGCCCCCUCGCCUCUCGGGGUGGGGGAGAGGUGGCUUAACCCUUCCUGGGAGGACGCCCGCCGCGCGCGGGCUCCAUUCCACCCAGGCCCGGGCGGAUUCGCGAGGUGCUUCCGGCCUGAGGCUUAGACCUGGACGUCCAAGCCUGGGGAACGGCGGCCGCGUGCCCGGCCCCGCUUACUCUAGGCAGUUAACACACUCUCGGCACCGGGCCGGGGCCGGGGGCACCUCGGGCAGUGAGUCAGGCACCACCCUUGCCCCAGGCAGCUUGCCGUCGGGCCGGGGUAAUGACAGUCAUGAGACCGGCGAUGCAGAAUACAGGACAGUCAGGCCAGUGAAUCCAACUCUUCUGUGUGGACUUCUGUGCACAGGAUGAAAGGCACCUACCUCUUGCUUCUGAGAGACUUCCCUGCCUACUUUCUGGCCCAACGAGGCAAUCUCUUCAGAGUCAGGAGAAGGAGUGAGGCUGAUCUUGAACUCCUAGUUUUGAGAGAUCUUCCUGCUCUGUCUGGCCUCCCAAUGUUCUAGGAUUACAGGUGUGUGAGCCAUGGUGCACAGCCGCCCAGGUGUUUUUGGUGGAGGUGGCUCAAGUCCCCACCAGAGACACACUGGUUUAGAGCCUGCUCAGGAGGAACAAAGACGUUGAAGCUGCAGCAGAGACAGAGUCUUGCUAUAUUGCCCCGGCUGGUCUGAAACUCCUGUGCUCAAGCAAUCCUCCCACUUUGGUCUCCCAAUGUGCUGAGAAUACAGAUGUGGGCCACCAUGCCUGGCUGACACUUGGCAAUGUUUGAAGAUAUUUUAUUGUCAUAAUUGGGAAAGGGAAGUGCUAUGGUCUGAACGUGUCCGCCUCCAAAAUUCAUAUGUUGAAAUCCUAACGCCCAAAGUGAUGGAAGUCCCCUGCAUCCCGCAACAUUUCUUGGCGAGCCAGCCAGGAGGAGUGGAGACGGCAGAUCUACUGUCUCCUUUCCCUAUGGGGCUGGAGCCCCGGGCCUGGGGAGACCUGUGACCCCAGGUGCCACCUGGAGAACUUCAGCCUAGAGGGGUGAAAUCAGCUCUCCUGUGACCCAGCACCCCUACCCAGCAGCACAACAGAACCUGAGAGGGGCUACAGGACAAUUCCAGAAACAGCGUGCUUCAGGAACUGCGUUGCAGGUGUUUUACCUUGGAUCCACCACAGUUGGCUAAAACCGGCAGCUCAGGAC